UACGGAGGGUGCAAGCGUUAUCCGGAAUCAUUGGGUUUAAAGGGUCCGCAGGCGGACUUAUAAGUCAGUGGUGAAAUCCUACAGCUUAACUGUAGAACUGCCAUUGAUACUGUAAGUCUUGAAUUCGGUCGAAGUGGGCGGAAUAUGACAUGUAGCGGUGAAAUGCUUAGAUAUGUCAUAGAACACCGAUAGCGAAGGCAGCUCACUAGGCCUGGAUUGACGCUCAGGGACGAAAGCGUGGGGAGCAAAC
rnacentral:rRNA from 1 species